rnacentral:rRNA from 1 species
UGAGGAAUAUUGCUCAAUGGACGAAAGUCUGAAGCAGCAACGCCGCGUGAGGGAUGAAGGUGCUCUGCAUUGUAAACCUCUGUAGUCGGGGACAAAAAACGGGUUAUUACCCGUCUGAUGGUACCCGAAAAGUAAGGAUCGGCUAACUACGUG